rnacentral:rRNA from 1 species
UACGUAGGGCGCAAGCGUUGUCCGGAAUUAUUGGGCGUAAAGAGCUCGUAGGCGGUUUGUCGCGUCUGCUGUGAAAUCCCGAGGCUCAACCUCGGGCUUGCAGUGGGUACGGGCAGACUAGAGUGCGGUAGGGGAGACUGGAAUUCCUGGUGUAGCGGUGGAAUGCGCAGAUAUCAGGAGGAACACCGAUGGCGAAGGCAGGUCUCUGGGCCGCA